AUGCUGAGGUCCUCGGGGAGGGACGGCGCGAGCGUUUGCCAUUUGGUCACGGCGUUGGCCGCGCCCUGGUCAAUGGUCUUUUGGAUGUUGGAGAACGUCACUGUCGACGGGACAGGUACCAGCCUGAUCUUCCACGACAGCACGAUGCCGAAGUUCCCGCCGCCGCCGCCGCGGAUGGCCCAGAAGAGGUCCGUGCCCAUGGCCUCCUUGUCCAGCAGCCUCCCGUUGGCGUCGACCAGCGUGGCGUCGAGGACGUUGUCGAUGGAGAGGCCGUACUUGCGCAUCAUCAUGCCGAUGCCGCCGCCGCUGAUGUGGCCGCCCAAGCCCAUGGUCGAGCACACGCCGGCAGGGAACGCGAGCCCGGGCGCCGCCUUGGCGACGGCGUGGUACAGCUCCCCGACCGUCGCGCCCGAGUCCACCCACGCGGUGGCCGCGCCCCGGUCGACGCGCACAGAGCGGAGGUUGGCGAGGUCGACCACCGCGAACACCUCGGGGCGCUCGGACCGGUACGAGAGCCCCUCGUAG
rnacentral:rRNA from 1 species